GAUGAAGAACGUAGCGAAAUGCGAUACGUAAUGUGAAUUGCAGAAUUCAGUGAAUCAUCGAAUCUUUGAACGCAUAUUGCGCCCGCCAGCAUUCUGGCGGGCAUGCCUGUUCGAGCGUCAUUUCAACCCUCGACCUCCCCUUGGGGAGGUCGGCGUUGGGGACCGGCAGCACACCGCCGGCCCUGAAAUGGAGUGGCGGCCCGUCCGCGGCGACCUCUGCGCAGUAAUACAGCUCGCACCGGGACCCCGACGCGGCCACGCCGUAAAACACCCAACUUCUGAACGUUGACCUCGAAUCAGGUAGGACUACCCGCUGAACUUAAGCAUAUCAAUAAGCGGAGGA
rnacentral:misc_RNA from 1 species